CUGCUCAGCCCCCGUAAGCAGCAGUGCCCCACCAGGCAUCUCACGGUGAGGCUGCCCCAUCUAUGGUGUUCUUCUGGCCUCUGUACAUACCACUGCUCACGAGGGCUGAGGUAAUGAUUUUGAGGGCUGAACCAGGGUCUAAGAAGCUGCCUCCCGUACACAAGCUGCUAUGAGCUGUCUGCAGGAAGAGCAAGGCAAUGUGGAGAGGUGUGAAACCAUUCUGGAAUACCAAGAAACAAUGUUCAAAGACUCCCGACUGAUAAAACAGCACUUCUCUGAGUUAUCCUCAUUACACCUGCUGUCCCCUUGUGGAAUUAUGUGGCUGCUAACUUUUAGUUUAUAGCAAAACAAAGUUUACUUUGCCAGCUGAAACACUAAUGAUGAGUGGGCUUUGAAGAAAAUGAUUAGUUGUGAAUAUCAUACAGUGCAAAGCUAAGCUGCCAUUUCAUUGUGAGUGAAACGGCAAAAAGAAGAAAACAAGCCACCCUGAACAUCAAAGAUCAGCACAUUCCUGCUCACAGCAUUUGCUUGAAUGUUGAUGCCAACCUGUAUACAUAUCAAAGCAAUAUCAUGGGCUUACUUUCACAACAGUUGACAGAAUUGGGCCUCCAAUCUGAUCAAGAUUAGUUACCUUCCCAACAGGAGUAAAGAAUACCAUAUGCUUGCAUAACAUAUGGUCAGGACUAUUGCCUCCUCUAGUUGAGCCAAAACAGAUAGUCACAUUCAUUAUCACUCCUUGGUGAAAUUCUUUUGUAUUAUUAAUUAUUAUUAUUAUGUUCCAGGAGAAUGAUCAGGAGAAGAGAGAUGCUACUGAAAGACUGUUAAGCAGCACCAAGUAUAUUUGCUGCUCCUGCAACCUGAGAUCCUUUAACUGGAGACACUCAGGGGGGUUAGGGAUGCACAAAAACCCACCCCCAGAAAUUUUGAGAGAGAUAACUUUUGGCUGCCCUCAGGAUUCCUUGGAUGUUUCAUGUGAGGAUGAUAUCUCCCCCUGCCACUUGGAAUGUAAUAUUAGAUAAUAUUUAGUUGACAAUAGCACUAAGGGCUAAAACUGGGCCUUCUUCAUGCAAUGUAUAUGGUCUGUCACUGAGAUAGGAGGAUAGCCCACCAAGACAACAUGAGCAUGAAACACAGCACAUUUUGACACUCAGUGUAUAUCCAUGGAAUUUGUAAGAAACCACAACUAUUUUACUGGGGGAGAAGAAUUGAGGGUUUAAUAUUAUUCAUUCUAGCUAUUGUAUGUGUAUAGGUCUUCUGCUAUUCUGAGUUAUGGAGCAGGGUUGGGGUGGGGUGCUGCAAAUCUACCAAUAGCUCUAGAUCUCUGUGUAAUUCUGAGAGACCAGAUCUCUGUGCAGCUUAGAUCUGCUAGUAGAUGAGGAGACUCAUAAGCAUAAAAAGGCAUAUGCUAUAGUGUAAAACCACAUUUCCUACCACACAAACAGAUAACUCCAGACAUUGGAAUAGAAGAACAAGCAAAAUAACAGCUUCCUGAAGCAAACUGGAAAUGUCUACUAAUUUGUGAAUCUAAAAGGUCCGCUAGGAUUUUAGGGGUUAGAUAGGAGUGACUGAAAUUGAAAGACCAGAUCUUGCAAAGAAAUAGAACAAAGACUAGUCAAGAAAACUCGGGAUUUUAUACAGGCAUGUUUUUGCCCCAGUUAAAGAGACUACUACUGGAAAUGAUGAAAAAAAAAAGCUAAAACAAGCUUUUAUUUGGGAUAUAUUUUUACAAAUUCACAUAAAAUGCAAUAAAAGCAACAUGAAGUUUACAAUCUUCUUCUGAGAGUAGCUGUUAAAGACAAUAUUCCAUCGAUCAAAUAAUGAGGCAAAAAGAUGCUUGUAAGAAGUAAAGGAUUGUUUCAGAAAGAGUUUGUCUUUUGUACAUCAAGGCUCUAAUCUGUGCUCUAAAAAAUCUAUAAUU